rnacentral:rRNA from 1 species
AGUUAUCGUUUAUUUGAUAGUACCUUACUACAUGGAUAACCGUGGUAAUUCUAGAGCUAAUACAUGCUAAAAAUCCCGACUUCGGAAGGGAUGUAUUUAUUAGAUUAAAAACCAAUGCCCUUCGGGGCUCUCUGGUGAUUCAUAAUAACUUCUCGAAUCGCACGGCCUUGUGCCGGCGAUGGUUCAUUCAAAUUUCUGCCCUAUCAACUUUCGACGGCUGGGUCUUGGCCAGCCGUGGUGACAACGGGUAACGGAGGGUUAGGGCUCGACCCCGGAGAAGGAGCCUGAGAAACGGCUACUACAUCCAAGGAAGGCAGCAGGCGCGCAAAUUACCCAAUCCCGACACGGGGAGGUAGUGACAAUAAAUACUGAUACAGGGCUCUUUCGGGUCUUGUAAUUGGAAUGAGUACAAUUUAAAUCCCUUAACGAGGAACAAUUGGAGGGCAAGUCUGGUGCCAGCAGCCGCGGUAAUUCCAGCUCCAAUAGCGUAUAUUAAAGUUGUUGAGGUUAAAAAGCUCGUAGUUGAACCUUGGGCCUAGCCGGCCGGUCCGCCUCACCGCGUGCACUGGCUCGGCUGGGUCUUUCCUUCUGGAGAACCGCAUGCCCUUCACUGGGUGUGCCGGGGAACCAGGACUUUUACUCUGAACAAAUUAGAUCGCUUAAAGAAGGCCUAUGCUCGAAUACAUUAGCAUGGAAUAAUAGAAUAGGACGUGUGGUUCUAUUUUGUUGGUUUCUAGG